UACGUAGGUGGCGAGCGUUGUCCGGAUUUAUUGGGCGUAAAGCGCCCGCAGGCGGCCCGGCAAGUUUCAGGUGAAAUCUCCCGGCUUAACUGGGAAGGGUCCUGGAAAACUGCCAGGCUUGAGGCAGGGAGAGGGAUGUGGAAUUCCCGGUGUAGUGGUGAAAUGCGUAGAUAUCGGGAGGAACACCAGUGGCGAAGGCGGCAUCCUGGCCCUGUCCUGACGCUCAGGGGCGAAAGCGUGGGGAGCAAACCGG
rnacentral:rRNA from 1 species